rnacentral:rRNA from 1 species
GGAAGGGUGAGUAAUGCGUGGGUAAUCUACCUCGAAGAUUGGAAUAACCUGGGGAAACUCGGGAUAAUUCCGAAUGUGGUCGCUCCGCGCAUGCGGGGCUGUCUAAAGCUGGGGACCGCAAGGCCUAGCGCUUCGAGAUGAGCUCACGUCCUAUCAGCUUGUUGGUGAGGUAAUGGCUCACCAAGGCUUACGGGUAGCUGGUCUGAGAGGAUGGUCAGCCACACUGGGACUGAGACACUGCCCAGACUCCUACGGGAGGCUGCAGUCGAGAAUCAUUCGCAAUGGGCGAAAGCCUGACGAUGCGACGCCGCGUGCAGGAUGACGGCCUUCGGGUUGUAAACUGCUGUGAUGGGGGAACAAUUGGCGGACUGUUAAUAGCUAUCCGUCUUGAUAGUACCCCAAGAGGAAGCCACGGCUAACUCUGUGCCAGCAGCCGCGGUAAUACAGAGGUGGCGAGCGUUGUUCGGAUUUACUGGGCGUAAAGGGUGCGUAGGCGGCUCCAUGUGUCGGGUGUGAAAUCCAACGGAUUAUCCGUUGAACUGCACACGAAACUGUGGGGCUUGAGGACAGGAGAGGAGGGCGGAAUUCACGGUGUAGCGGUGAAAUGCGUUGAUAUCGUGAAGAACGCCGGUGGCGAAGGCGGCCCUCUGGACUGUUUCUGACGCUGAGGCACGAAAGCUAGGGGAGCAAACAGGAUUAGAUACCCUGGUAGUCCUAGCCGUAAACGUUGUGUACUUGGUGUGGGAGGAAUUAUCCCCUUCCGUGCCGGAGCUAACGCGUUAAGUACACCGCCUGGAGAGUACGGUCGCAAGAUUAAAACUCAAAGAAAUUGACGGGGGCCCGCACAAGCGGUGGAGCAUGUGGCUUAAUUCGAUGCAAC